rnacentral:rRNA from 1 species
CAAAUGACUCUCGGCAAUGGAUAUCUCGGCUCUUGCAUCGAUGAAGAACGUAGUGAAAUGCGAUAUUUGGUGUGAAUUGCAGAAUCUCGCGAACCAUUGAGUCUUUGAACGCAAGUUGUGCCCGAGGCCUUGUGGUCGAGGGCACGCCUGCUUGGGUGUCAUGAC